UACGUAGGGUGCAAGCGUUGUCCGGAAUUAUUGGGCGUAAAGAGCUCGUAGGCGGUCUGUCGCGUCGGCUGUGAAAACUCGGGGCUCAACUCCGAGCUUGCAGUCGAUACGGGCAGGCUAGAGUUCGGCAGGGGGAGGACUGGAAUUCCUGGUGUAGCGGUGAAAUGCGCAGAUAUCAGGAGGAACACCGGUGGCGAAGGCGGGUCUCUGGGCCGAUACUGACGCUGAGGAGCGAAAGCAUGGGUAGCGAACAGG
rnacentral:rRNA from 1 species